rnacentral:misc_RNA from 1 species
AACGCACAUUGCGCCCCCUGGCAUUCCGGGGGGCAUGCCUGUUCGAGCGUCAUUACACCCCUCAAACUUGACUGUUUGAUGUUGGGCGUUGCCUGGUGGCACGCCUAAAAACCAGCGACGGUUCCAGCCAACCUCAAACGUGCAAGUAGCGUGAUGGUGGGCGGUUGGGGCUUGUCUGUCUAGUAACACCUAAAUGUUGACCUCGGAUCAGGUAGGAAUACCCGCUGAACUUAA